CUGCAGCUCAGUUGGUAAAGCAUGAGACUCAUAAUCCCAGGGUUGUGGGUUCGAGCCCCACAUUGGGUGAAAGA